AACGCACGAGACCUGCGGACCUGCGGAAGGAUCAUUAAUGAGAAACUGCCCCUCGCGGGUAGAUCUCCCACCCUUUGUAAACUUACCUUUGUUGCUUUGGCAGGCCCGUCUCCGGACCGCCGGCUUCGGCUGGCCAGUGCCUGCCAGAGGAUUCUAAAACUCUGUCUGUCAGUGUUGUCUGAGUCUAUAUACAAUCGUUAAAACUUUCAGCAACGGAUCUCUAGAUCGGAAGAGCACACG
rnacentral:misc_RNA from 1 species